CACGUAGGGCGCGAGCGUUGUCCGGAAUUAUUGGGCGUAAAGAGCUCGUAGGCGGUCUGUCGCGUCGGCUGUGAAAUCCCGGGGCUCAACCCCGGGCCUGCAGUCGAUACGGGCAGACUAGAGUGCGGUAGGGGGAGACUGGAAUUCCUGGUGUAGCGGUGAAAUGCGCAGAUAUCAGGAGGAACACCGGUGGCGAAGGCGGGUCUCUGGGCCGUAACUGACGCUGAGGAGCGAAAGCGUGGGGAGCAAACAGG
rnacentral:rRNA from 1 species